rnacentral:rRNA from 1 species
GAUGAACGCUGGCGGCGUGCCUAAUACAUGCAAGUCGAGCGAACAGACGAGGAGCUUGCUCCUCUGACGUUAGCGGCGGACGGGUGAGUAACACGUGGAUAACCUACCUAUAAGACUGGGAUAACUUCGGGAAACCGGAGCUAAUACCGGAUAAUAUAUUGAACCGCAUGGUUCAAUAGUGAAAGACGGUUUUGCUGUCACUUAUAGAUGGAUCCGCGCCGCAUUAGCUAGUUGGUAAGGUAACGGCUUACCAAGGCAACGAUGCGUAGCCGACCUGAGAGGGUGAUCGGCCACACUGGAACUGAGACACGGUCCAGACUCCUACAGGAGGCAGCAGUAGGGAAUCCUCCGCAAUGGGCGAAAGCCUGACGGAGCAACGCCGCGUGAGUGAUGAAGGUCUUCGGAUCGUAAAACUCUGUUAUUAGGGAAGAACAAAUGUGUAAGUAACUAUGCACGUCUUGACGGUACCUAAUCAGAAAGCCACGGCUAACUACGUG